GAUCCUGGCUCAGAAUCAACGCUGGCGGCGCGCUUAACACAUGCAAGUCGCACGAGAAAGGGGAGCAAUCUCUGAGUACAGUGGCGUACAGGUGAGUAACACGUGGGUGAUCUACCCUUGAGUGGGGAAUAACUCUGGGAAACCGGGGCUAAUACCGCAUAAGCCUGAGAAGGGAAAGCCGAAAGGCGCUGAAGGAGGAGCCCGCGGCCGAUUAGCUAGUUGGUGGGGUAAAGGCUCACCAAGGCGAGGAUCGGUAGCCGGCCUGAGAGGGCACACGGCCACACUGGCACUGGGAUACGGGCCAGACUCCUACGGGAGGCAGCAGUGGGGAAUCUUGCACAAUGGAGGAAACUCUGAUGCAGCGACGCCGCGUGAGCGAUGAAGCCCUUCGGGGUGUAAAGCUCUUUCGACGGGAACGAUAAUGACGGUACCCGGAGAAGAAGCUGCGGCUAACUACGUGCCAGCAGCCGCGGUAAUACGUAGGCAGCAAGCGUUGUUCGGAAUUACUGGGCGUAAAGAGUGUGUAGGCGGUGCUCUAAGUUCGGUGUGAAAUCUCCCGGCUUAACUGGGAGGGUGCGCCGGAAACUGGAGUGCUUGAGCGCGGGAGAGGAAAGCGGAAUUCCUGGUGUAGCGGUGAAAUGCGUAGAUAUCAGGAGGAACACCUGUGGUGUAGACGGCUUUCUGGACCGU
rnacentral:rRNA from 1 species